UUAAGUUCAGCGGGUAGUCCUACUCGAUUUGAGGUCAAGUUGUCAGAUGUUGUCCGAAGACGGUUUGAAGCACAGAGCUCCCGAUCGGCCACCCUCUAAUGAGGCGCCGGCGAAGACACUUAUCACGCCGCACUAUGUCCAACCAAGAGUUGCACUAACACAUUUGAGGUAAGCUACGGUAAGGCAGCAAACCCAAGUCC
rnacentral:misc_RNA from 1 species